rnacentral:rRNA from 1 species
GACGUAGGGCGCGAGCGUUGUCCGGAUUUAUUGGGCGUAAAGAGCUCGUAGGCGGCUUGUCGCGUCGUCCGUGAAAACCUGCGGCUCAACUGCAGGCUGGCGGUCGAUACGGGCAGGCUGGAGUUCGGUGAGGGGAGACUGGAAUUCCUGGUGUAGCGGUGAAAUGCGCCAGAUAUCAGGAGGAACACCGGUGGCGAAGGCGGAUCUCUGGGCCUUACCUGACGC